AAGUGAAGGUAAGAGGCAAGAGAUCAACAUGACUGGAACUUUCUUAUACAUAGUAGUGUUCAUUUUGUUCAAAGGUUCCUGUAAGGGUGUGUUGAUCACUCAGUGGCCUAAAUACAUCUCCAGCCUUAAAAACACCCCAGUGCACAUGCACUGUUACCAAAAUGACACAGAUUAUGACUACACUUAUUGGUACAGACAAAUUGGUAAUGAGCUAGUGCUUAUAACCAGAUCUGUAAGUGGCACCCACAACCAGGAGAAAGGGUAUGAAAAUGGCUUCAAAGCCUCAGGAACAAAAAAGCAGUGGUCCUUGACAGUGGAUGUUAAAGAGGACAGUGAUGCUGUUUACCUAUGUGCUGCUAGGUUCCACAGUGUAUAAAUGCUGGUAAUUUGUGAUACAAAAACAUACUGGAAGGCCGCCAGAGCUCACAGCUGAUUCAACCACAUCAGUGUUGAUUUCUGUGCUGUUUUACUGAAUUCCUUUCACCCAUUUUCUGUUACACUUAUUUUUAAGUGUUGUUGGGAACCAGGAGUCUAUCCCACGGGACUCUAAAAAGAAUACAGGUUCAUGCAGCAGCACUGCAGCUGAGUAACACACAUGACAUGAUAUAUCGUUAUAUACUCUUGUUUGUUUUAUUGAAAGGUAUGCAACUGUAAAUUACUUACAAGACAUUAAAUUAAAUGUACAUGGAAAGUUACAGAUAUCUAGUAGAUUCUAUAACCACCCUGUGUCUCUUUUAGGUUUCUGUAAGGGUGUGUUGAUGAGUGUAUUAGAUGGAACUAAUACGUUUAGAUUUGUGAAAAAAGUGUAUUUAGUUAGAGAGUUUUGCCAGUAGGGGGAGAUGUGUACAACUGUAAACGGUCCAAAAACACUUCUGCUUACUCUAAGCCUCUCUGUUUCUAAUAGUAAAGGCUUUAGUAUCUGAAUAAAUCGCUCCCUCAAGAUGUGCAUCAGAAGGAUGUAUGUAGCUGUUUCUAAGUUCUACCUGUUCUUAUAUUUCUUUACAGGAAGGACAAACUGUGCUAAUGUUCUACAGAGUUCUUCACUCCUAGUGAAUAAAACACAGAAUGUAACGAUUGAGUGUAGCCAUGAGGACAAUAGCUUAUAUGUUAUGUUAUGGUAUCAGCAAAAGAUUGAC